UAAUAUCUAAUAAACGCAAUAUUGAUUAAAUAAAAAAUAAAAAAAGUAAAGAUUGGUAUGGGAUUCGAACCAGGAUUAUCAACGUCCGAAGACAAACGACCAGUUCUCGUCGCCAUCCGGUCGAACUGUCAAACCAUCUAAAAUACUCGACGACAGAGUAGGAUAGUGACGUCGUCGAUACUCCCCUUGAAUUAGAAAGAGACUACCGACCAAAUAGGCUCAUUUAUCUCUGUCGCAACCGUCACCCAUUUUAAGAUCGUAAGGUGCAAUCUAGAGUAUUAUAUAUCUAUGGGAUUGACUAAUACAGCAUAAUCAAAUCAUUGUAAUAGGUUAGGUAGGUAGCUCAAGUCUUCUUCUGUUUUUCUGCCCAUUUAUAAUACAAAAUUAUUAUCCAUCAAAUUAUUAUUAACAUAAAAGUAUUACAUACAUGGUCCAUACUUUUUAGCGAUAUAAUAGCGAAUAUCCAAUACAUCAUUAACUCAUUUUCUAAAAUAUAUUCUUCAAUUCUUCCAUAUAUUUAUUUUUCUUAAUAUGUAUGCAAAUUGGGUGUAUCCGCUGGGAGGGUUGACAUGGUGGGGAUAUCGCAUGUCGAUCGUCCUUCUCAUGGUGGCGAAAAUUGGAAGCUCCGUCCCACAAAUUAGCGUUGCCAGAGUUCGUACAAUUGUACCAAUUUGAAACAAAUAACAACCAAACUUGUGAUACUAAAGUAUCUAAAGUAAAAAUCUAAAAUUUUGUGAUAUAAGAAAUUUGCUUCAAAUAACAUUAAAUGACGUUUUUUUAAGUUUUUGUACAAAAUGUGUUGGUUUAGUACAUUUUGUGUCAAUAUUCCAGUGCAUGAGUGAAUUUAUAAAAAUUUCUCUGGCAACACCGUCACCUGCCGUGUACUGCUGGCUUCUGGCUUAUCAAAAUAUUCCGUUAAUUUUUUUAAAAUGCCACAUCACGGUUCUUGUGUCGUUUUUGACUGUCAUUUUACAUGGAGAAACAGUGGAAUGAAAUUCUUUCGCUUUCCUACAUCCAAAUAUAGGCAGGAUCAAAGAAAAAAAUGGAUUAAUGCUAUUCGAAGACAAAAAAUAUAAAGGCCAUAAAAUUUGGAAAAGAACAAAGAAGAGUCCAAAUCAUUGGUUAAUGAUAUGUUUUAUAGGGACUAUAUCAUAUAUUUUAAUGAAAGAAAAAAAAUGAGUACUGAACACAAAGCACAAUUAUUACAACCAAAUUCAAGGCAACUUAUAAUUAAUAAAAAGGAAGGUGUGCCACCUAGUGAUCUGGAUGCCUUCAGAAUCGAUCAUAUAUGAUGUCGGUAUUGAAGAAUGCUGGGAACACAAUAUAAAAUUAUUAAAAACAUUUUAUUUGAAUAAAUAAGUAUAUACCAUUUUUAUGUGGAAAUAAAGCACUUUACAAUUA